rnacentral:ribozyme from 1 species
GCGGCGAUCUUGCCGAUGAACUUAGGGAUGUGAAAGUUAAAUCAUUCUCCAAUUCAAAAUGCAACUCCUUUUAUGGUGGGAAUCAAAUCAAGUCUUCUAUGAUUUGUGCGGGGUACAAAAAAGGCAAAAAAGAUGCUUGUCAAGGUGAUUCGGGUGGUCCUCUUGUGAAAGUGGAUG